rnacentral:rRNA from 1 species
GACGUAGGGCGCGAGCGUUGUCCGGAUUUAUUGGGCGUAAAGAGCUCGUAGGCGGUUUGUCGCGUCGGCCGUGAAAUCUCCACGCUUAACGUGGAGCGUGCGGUCGAUACGGGCAGACUUGAGUUCGGUAGGGGAGACUGGAAUUCCUGGUGUAGCGGUGAAAUGCGCAGAUAUCAGGAGGAACACCGGUGGCGAAGGCGGGUCUCUGGGCCGAUACUGACGCUGAGGUGCGAAAGCGUGGGGAGCAAACAGG